UACGAAGGGGGCUAGCGUUGUUCGGAAUCACUGGGCGUAAAGCGUAUGUAGGCGGAUUGUUAAGUCAGGGGUGAAAUCCCGAGGCUCAACCUCGGAACUGCCUUUGAUACUGGCUGUCUUGAGUCCGGGAGAGGUGAGUGGAACUCCUAGUGUAGAGGUGAAAUUCGUAGAUAUUAGGAAGAACACCAGUGGCGAAGGCGGCUCACUGGCCCGGAACUGACGCUGAUGUACGAAAGCGUGGGGAUCAAACAGG
rnacentral:rRNA from 1 species